rnacentral:rRNA from 1 species
CAGCCGCUUGUACACUGUAGGGUGCAAGCCGUAAUCGCAAUUACUGUGCGUCAAGCGUGCGCAGGCGGCUUUGCAAGACAGAUGUGAAAUCCCCGGGCUUAACCUGGGAACUGCAUUUGUGACUGCAUGGCUGGAGUGCGGCAGAGGGGGAUGGAAUUCCGCGUGUAGCAGUGAAAUGCGUACAUAUGCGGAGGAACACCGAUGGCGAAGGCAAUCCCCUGGGCCUGCACUGACGCUCAUGCACGAAAGCGUGGGGAGCAAACAGGAUUAGAUACCCUGGUAGUCCACGCCCUAAACGAUGUCAACUGGUUGUUGGACGGCUUGCUGUUCACUAACGAAGCUAACGCGUGAA